rnacentral:rRNA from 1 species
UACGUAGGGGGCUAGCGUUGUCCGGAAUCAUUGGGCGUAAAGCGCGUGUAGGCGGUCCGGUAAGUCCGCUGUGAAAGUCGAGGGCUCAACCCUCGAAUGCCGGUGGAUACUGUCGGGCUAGAGUGCGGAAGAGGCGAGUGGAAUUCCUGGUGUAGCGGUGAAAUGCGCAGAUAUCAGGAGGAACACCUAUUGCGAAGGCAGCUCGCUGGGACGUUACUGACGCUGAGACGCGAAAGCUAGGGGAGCAAACGGG